rnacentral:rRNA from 1 species
AACUUAAAUGAAUUGACGGGACCGCGACAGCAGCGGAGCGUGUGGUUUAAUUCGUUGCUACACGAAGAACCUUACCUGGGUUUGACAUAUAGGUUGUAGGGAACUGAAAGGACCGACCUCGGGAGCCUAUACAGGUGUUGCAUGGCUGUCGUCAGCUCGUGUCGUGAGAUGUUCGGUUAAGUCCGCUAACGAGCGCAACCCUCGUCGUAUGUUAUAUGUGUCAUACGAGACUGCCGGUAAAAGCCGGAGGAAGGUGAGGAUGAUGUCAAGUCAGCAUGACCUUUAUAUCCAGGGCUACACACACGCUACAAUGGUCUGUACAAUGGGUAGCCAAGCCGCGAGGCGGAGCCAAUCCUGAAAGCAGGCCUCAGUUCAGAUUGCAGUCUGCAACUCGACUGCAUGAAGCCGGAGUUGCUAGUAACCGCAGGUCAGCAAUACUGCGGUGAAUACGUUCCCGGGUCUU